UACGUAGGUGGCAAGCGUUGCUCGGAAUCACUGGGCGUAAAGCGCACGUAGGCGGAUUGCUAAGUCAGGGGUGAAAUCCUGGAGCUCAACUCCAGAACUGCCUUUGAUACUGGCGACCUUGAGUCCGGGAGAGGUGAGUGGAACUGCGAGUGUAGAGGUGAAAUUCGUAGAUAUUCGCAAGAACACCAGUGGCGAAGGCGGCUCACUGGCCCGGUACUGACGCUGAGGUGCGAAAGCGUGGGGAGCAAACAGG
rnacentral:rRNA from 1 species